AGGGGCUAUGUCUCAUACUAUUUUAUCCUUCCUGGCACAAGCAACAGUUUAACAUAAUUGGGUCUUGAUAAGGUUCGCCUUGAUAUGCUGAUUUAGUACAGAUAACAAAAAGUCUUUUUUUUAAGUAUUAAAAACUCAAAUAUUAAACUCAUCCACUUAACAUUACUUUAAAAACCCUAAUUUUUAAAUCUAUAAAUAUCCUACUCUAGGCAGUAGUAGUUUGAGCUCAUUGUAAUUUGAAUUAGGCAGUCAGUAACCUGCUUUUAUAGUAGUUGAUAAAUAUUAUAGAACAUGUUGGCUUAUUUUUAUAAAUGUUCUAAUAGUUAUUUUUGGUAACUGUCAAUAAAGUCUUUGAAUCGUUAAGGGUCAUAAUAGGAGUGGUUUCAUUAUGUCUUCAGGAUGUAACAUAAAGAUAAUUCACAGUUAAAAUUCAAUACUAAUUUAAGUUAAAAGAAAUCAUUUUACAGUUGUGAACGAUUGAAGACUUAAACUUGUUAGAUAAUCAGUUUGUUACUAUCUUAGCUAAGAGCUUAACAGUUCAGUGAAAUAGCAGCAUAUUUUCUUCCCCUGGCUCACCUCUUGUGCUACAGACAUUUUUCUCUGUACUAUUUAUCUUAGGAGCUGCUGGUUUCACUUUGACCACAUACUACUUUCUUCUGACCAUCCAGUUAAGAUGCCUUCUCUAUCCAUGUAUGACAAAUUCAAAAAAGGAAAGUGAAAAUCAUAUAAAGUUCUAGUGUUGCCUUAAUUGGAACAUUAUGAAAGUAUUUGUCAACUGAACCUAUAUAAAUAG
rnacentral:lncRNA from 1 species